rnacentral:rRNA from 1 species
UACGGAGGGUGCGAGCGUUGUUCGGAAUCACUGGGCGUAAAGCGCGUGUAGGCGGCCUCUUAAGUCUGAUGUGAAAGCCCGGGGCUCACCCCCGGAAGUGCAUUGGAUACUGGGGGGCUGGAGUACCGGAGAGGAGGGUGGAAUUCCUGGUGUAGCGGUGAAAUGCGUAGAUAUCAGGAGGAACACCGGUGGCGAAGGCGGCCCUCUGGACGGAUACUGACGCUGAGACGAGACAGCGUGGGGAGCAAACAGG